UACGAAGGGGGCUAGCGUUGUUCGGAAUACUGGGCGUAAAGCGUAUGCAGGCGGAUCGUUAAGUCGGGGGUGAAAUCCCGAGGCUCAACCUCGGAACUGCCUUCGAUACUGGCGAUCUUGAGUCCCGGGAGAGGUGAGUGGAACUCCGAGUGUAGAGGUGAAAUUCGUAGAUAUUCGGAAGAACACCAGUGGCGAAGGCGGCUCACUGGCCCGGUACUGACGCUGAGAUACGAAAGCGUGGGGAGCAAACAGG
rnacentral:rRNA from 1 species